CCGCCACGCUAGGGGUCCUGAAGAGCCAAUCUUCUGGUGAGAUAUACCCUUGAACCUGAACUGGAUAAUGCCAGCGUAGGAAAGCGCAAAGCCACUAAG
rnacentral:ncRNA from 2 species